rnacentral:rRNA from 1 species
GCCCUUCACUCUGGGACAAGCCCUGGAAACGGGGUCUAAUACCGGAUAACACCGGCCUUCGCAUGGAGGCUGGUUGAAAGCUCCGGCGGUGAAGGAUGAGCCCGCGGCCUAUCAGCUUGUUGGUGGGGUAAUGGCCCACCAAGGCGACGACGGGUAGCCGGCCUGAGAGGGCGACCGGCCACACUGGGACUGAGACACGGCCCAGACUCCUACGGGAGGCAGCAGUGGGGAAUAUUGCACAAUGGGCGAAAGCCUGAUGCAGCGACGCCGCGUGAGGGAUGACGGCCUUCGGGUUGUAAACCUCUUUCAGCAGGGAAGAAGCGAAAGUGACGGUACCUGCAGAAGAAGCGCCGGCUAACUACGUGCCAGCAGCCGCGGUAAUACGUAGGGCGCAAGCGUUGUCCGGAAUUAUUGGGCGUAAAGAGCUCGUAGGCGGCUUGUCACGUCGGGUGUGAAAGCCCGGGGCUUAACCCCGGGUCUGCAUCCGAUACGGGCAGGCUAGAGUGUGGUAGGGGAGAUCGGAAUUCCUGGUGUAGCGGUGAAAUGCGCAGAUAUCAGGAGGAACACCGGUGGCGAAGGCGGAUCUCUGGGCCAUUACUGACGCUGAGGAGCGAAAGCGUGGGGAGCGAAACAGGAUUAGAUACCCUGGU